UUUUCCUGUCAAUCUCAACGAUACCAACUUUCCAUCCACUUCCCUUCCUAAUUUAGCCUUUGAUCUUUAUUCCCUUUCCUUUUUCAAAUUUACUCUAUUUUUUUAUUUCCUUGUCCGAUGUCAAUUAUUAAAAUUUUUAAUUAUUGUGGCAUAAUCUCUUUAAGACCCACCCAAAAAGACACAGCAAAGAGGAGAAAUGAGAAUUAAAAGAAAUCAGAGAACGAACAACGAGUAGAGACGGGGGAGUCACAAGAACAGAGAAAAAUACAAAAACAUUAGGAAAUUAAAGAUUCAGUUGAGAGAGAGGAGACUAGAACCUGUCACACUUAAAUUUUUGCCCAAAGUUUGCUCCUCCUUCUAGUGUUGUGGAAACUGACGUGAGAGAGCAGCAACAAGAAGUAUUGUCUGCGAAUUUUGGUUCUAUAAUGAAGGUCAUCGAGGUUGUCCGUUCAAAGGUUCCGGCGCUUGUGUUUCAAAGUUACCGCACAAUUAAACUUCAUGAUUAUUGAGGUUGAUUUCUCAUUUCCUUCUACUUCUUGUUUGCUAAACAUCGUGCUCUUAUUAUUUUGUUAAUCUAUCAUUGCUUUGUUUUUUAAUAUCAUUUUUUUUGUUGUUGUUAGUUUAAUCUGUUUGGAUGGGUUUUGACAGUUAAAGUGAGUUUUCGAUUCCAUGUUUAAUUACUUUAUUAAUAGAUAAUUGUUCAAUGCCUCACAGUUGCUACGUAGAUGACAAAAGAAUUAAUUUAGCAUAUUUAAGUAGAUUAACUGGAGUUUUCGCUGCUUUGAAUAUGGGGGUUUUGGACAUCUAGAAUAAUAAUUGAAUUUAUCAUGUUAAUUGUUUUACCUUACUUCCUCGAAUCGCUAGGAGUAUGCUAGGCCAACCACAUUUGGGUUGGCAAAUUUUUAGGGCGUUUGUGUUUUAGUUUCCGUUGAGGUGAGAAGUCGCCCCCUUUAGUUAAAUUUGUUCGGGGAAUGUCCCGAGGGAUUUGUAAAUAUUUUAUGCCAGGGAAUGCCCCGAAGAACUUUGUAAAUAUUUUGGAGGCCUUGACGAGCAUUGUGGAGAAGUCAUAGUAUAGAUUAGUUUAGGAUUUUUCUUUUCUUUUCAUUUUCUCUUAUUUGGUGGGGACGGCCUCGAGCCUCUUGUGUGUUUAGUUUUCUUUUUCUAUAUUUUUUACCUCAAUUUGAAUAUUUUAAAAGCCAACUAGAUCGGAUAUACAACCGUACUAGUUACGGGACUCGGGGAGUGCCUAACACCUUCUCCCCGAGUCAAAUGAACCCUCUUACCUAAAAUCUUUGGUGCAAACUGGUUUAAGAGUCAAAUGUGUUUUGAAGGAAAUCUUUUUUUUUUUUAAAUGGUGACCUGGCACACCGAAACCAAAUGUCAGGUGAUGACUCUGAGAAUCCUUCGAAACAUAAUUUUUGUCACGUUCUAAUUGAAACACCCUUUUGAACCUUAAAAUCACUUUAUUUAUAUAUUUUAAGGGGUUAGUGAGGUAGGAAAAAGGGGUGUGACUUCUGUUAGUAGAACAUGUCAUCAUCGCAGUAUGUAUUAGGCUUACCUAGUUUUUAGAUACUAGGUGGCAUCACGACUCCUUCGGAGGAAUUUUGGGUCGUGACAGAUAUUGAUAUUGUUCCUUGGUGAACCCAUGUACUGAGGAGUUAGAGGUUUGUGGAAAACAAUUUGUAAGGACAACUGUUGUAUUCUCAACCUGAACACAAGAAGCAGACUUCUUAUAUCUGGUGAACUUGAAAUCUGGUGGGAACCCAUGGAGUCUGUAGCACUUACCACACUGUGACCUGGUUUAUUGCAGUACUUGCAAGUAAGAGAUGCAGUACCCUUCCCAGUCUCAAAAUUGACUUUCUGAGUUAAGUUCCUAUUAGUGAUGAAGGAUGCUGGAGAGACCAGGAAGGAGGCUGUAUCACCAGAGAAAUUUGGUGCAUCAGAUUGGGCUUCCUUUUGGCUUUUUCAUUGUGUUGCAAGAGUGAGUAGGCUUUACUAAUUGGUGGAAGAGUGUUCAUCAAUAUAAUAGCACUCUUGACAGUGGAAUAGGAAUCAUUUAGACCAUUGAGGAACUGAAAUAACUGUUGAUCCUCAAUGAAUUUAGGUAGGGCCCCAUAAGAAAAGACAGGCCCUACAUAGGAGGAGUUCAAUUCAUCCCAUAAACUCCUCAUUUUAGUGAAAUUGAAAGCUACAUCAAAUGAACCCUGAGUGGUUGAGCUGAUUUUUCUUUGGAUUUGAAUAUAUUUAGAGCCAUUCGACUGACCAAAUCUCUCAUUGAUGUCCUUCCAGACUUCCUUGGCAAUCUUGAAGCACAUAACACUGAUGGCUAUUUUCCUGGAUACAGAGUUUUGUUAUCUAGGCCUUCACCAUAUCAUUAUACUGUUCCUAGUAUGGAAAAUAAGGUGAUUCAGGGGAAGGUUGCGAAACUCUCCCAUCCAACAUACUAAGUUUAUUCUUUGCAUAGAGAGAGAGAGAGACAGAGAGAGAGAGAGAGAGAUGAUCAUACUACUACGCCAAAGGACAAAUUCAUACCCAUUGAAUGGCACAUAUACUAACUAACUGCCAAGAUUAUCAGAUGGGUAGAUAUAAAAGGGGUGAGAAGAUCUAGGGUAAAUGGAGUAAAACCGUUGGAGGUAGAUGAAGGUUCAGUGUUAUCCAUGAGGCUACCCAUAAUGUGGACCACAAUAACAACAAAAGACUAAAGUUCAACGAUUACGUCACCCUAAACUUGCAGGCAAAAAUUGUUGACCAUAUAUCAACUGCUUGCAAGCCAGAAUCUACAAAAUGUCGGAGAAUAUAGACUAGAAAGAUGUUACCAGCCUUCUUCUAGAACCCGAAGAAGGGAGAGCACACAAACCCUAGAAAAUGAUUGAACCCACAAAAUUGCCAAAAAUCUUUGAGCAAUUGAAAAUUCCCACUGGAAUGAGUUGUCCGAAGUCAGAACUGGAGUAAUCCUCAAUUUUUAUCGGCUAAAAUCGAAGGUCGGCACGUCCGUUGUGGGUAUCGAUCAAGUACUGAAACUGACAGAGUUUUUGAGGAAGAAUACCAUCGAAGUAAAGCUCACCACGAGAGGAAUUGAAAUUCCCGCUCUGAUACCAUGUUAACUUGAAAUUUGUGCGAGCUAUGGCGGAUUAAAGAAAAAGAAAACCCUAGACGAAAGAGAGAAGAAGAGAGAGAUGAAGAGGAGAGAAUGAGUCGGUCAAAUCUGUUUUGACCAAUCUGUCUUAUUAUUUGCAAAUAUGGGCCUCUAUAUACAUGUACAAAUGUGAACCAAUUGAACUGAAAAUAAGAAAAGAUAUGUACAGACUAAAAAUACAAAGAAUCUAAGCCGUCUCUCUUAAUGGACCUGCUGCUUUCCUUAAUCAGAUUUGUCCGGAGACACAUGUGGGUUAACACAAAAUCAGUAUUUCUCUAUUUUCAGGCGAUACUUUAAUGGACUAAUACUUUAGGAGAUGAAAAUUUGGUAAUACUUACUAAAACUAUAAAGUAUUGGCAGAAUAUGGUAAUGUAUACCUUAUAAUUAACCAUAAUUAUGACAUUAUUUGGCUAAUUGAUUUUGAACCUUUAAUAUUUAAAUAGAACUAGUGUCAAAUCUAAAUAAAAACUUGAAAAAUGGAUUCAUUGAACUACUUUAUUUUAUGACCAUGACCGUGUCUGAGCUGUUGUAUAAAACUUAUUGUUCAAUACUCUUAUAUUUCCUGACAAUAAUAAUGAUAAUUAUAAAAAUAAUAAAACCAAUCAACUGCAAAAUGGUGUCUAUUUCUAAUAAAAAAUGUGUAACACAUCUUAUAUACAAAUGAAUAGGUGAAACGUGUCUUACAAACCCUUUUUUAUAAAAAUUUUGUCUGAACCUUUUUAUUUUUUAUUUUUGGAAAAAUUAAAAGUCAACAGCGACAUAUACUCCCCAUACGAAAUACUACUAAAUUCACAGCUUUAAUUCCCAUUUAAUAGUUAUAUCGGAUCAAUAUGAACUAUAGAAAGAGGACAAAAUGUAUAAUACUUUUGUUAUUUAGUAUCGGAGAAAGAUCAAAUUUAUCCUCUGCGUUCGAGUUUCAACUAUAUAUAUUUUAAAAUUAUAUAUUCCAUGUUAUACUUUUCACUUUUCAGCCGUACAAAUAUAUUUGUCGUCAGCAACUUCUCUUGUAUUUGUCUGUAUAUAGUACUAACAGAGCAUUGUGGAGGAGCUUUCAAUCGGUUAAAAUCUUGAAAAAGCGAAUUCCGAUCCACGGAUCAAAAUAUUUUGAAAAAAUCCUAUUUUUUCCCUCUAUUAAUAUUAUACUAUGGUUAAAAUUUGUUUUUUAUUCGUUAAAUUUCUUGGGAAGUUAGUUUGGUGCAUGUUUCGUAGAUAGUGAUUUCCUUUCACUUGCCUAAACAUGAGUAGAGUUAAUCGUGACCUGCUUGCGGAAGAGAUAUUAUAUAUGUAAAGAAUUAGAUGAGGUCCACGCAAAAUGUCCAAAUGGCACUAUUAAAUAAAGGGAAAAGGUUCAAAUAUAUCUAUGUACUAUGAAAAAAGGUUUAAAUAUACUAUUCGUUAUACUUUGGGUUCAAAUAUAUCCCUAUCGUUACACUAUUGAUUCAAAUAUACCCCUCUUCCAUUAAGUUUGGCCAAGGUGGACAUCCAAUCCUACGUGGCACUAACAUUUGAUGAGGUGGAUGCCACGUGGCAUGCCACCUCAGUGCCCCUAACCUAUUUUACCCCUCCCUUGUAUUUUUUUUUUCACCACUAAAAUUCCCUUCCUCUCCACUACCAUUACCACCAUUAUCGCCACCAUCGGCAAUGUAUUCCCAAUAUGUUUGCUCUUAGAAGAGUAUGGGGCUCGUGGUGGUGGUAGUAAAUCUUAAUGUCAAACUUCUUUACACCAAAAUUAACUCAAAUCAAAUCAUGGAUAUCCUCCAAAAAUCUAAGGUUUUGAUACCAUGUGAACACCGAGCCUUGAUAGCAGCAUACUUACUGAUUGUUCUUAUGUUCUCCAAAUGAAUGGUCAAAAAAUUAUGCAAGCACUAGAGUAAGACAUUCUACAUCUACUGAUUAGUUAGAGAGAAGAGCAAAUAGCUAUAUUCAUUGUCACCGAGGCCACCAUUUGUUUUUUCUUUAAUGUCAUUUGCAAGAUUCUUUACUUUUCUAGAACCAGCAUUUCCACUUUAAAAUGAUCUUUGUCAUUUGCAUUGCUGGUAGUUCUGGUGGACAUAUAGUCGAACAUGGAAUGUUGUGAGUAGACUUUCAGAUGAGGAUCUUGAGAUUGAUGAGUUGCUUCCAAAUGAGGAUUUUGAGAUUGAUGAGUGGCUUUGUAUAAAUUCAAUAUUAUUUAUGGUGGCGAUAAUGGUGACGAUGGUGAUGGAGGGGAUCGGAGGAGAAUUUUAGUGGUGAAAAAAAAUAGAAGGGAGGGAUAAAAUGGGUAGGGGUGCUGAGGUAGCAUGCCACGUGGCAUCCACCUCAUUCAAUGUUAGUGUCACGUAGGAUUGGAUGUCCACCUUGGCUAAACUUAACGGAAGAGGGGUAUAUUUGAACCAAUAGUAUAACGACUGGGGUAUAUUUGGACUCAAAGUAUAACAAUGGGUAUAUUUAAACCUUUUCUCAUAGUACAUGUGUUACAUUUCGCGUUUUCAUACGUUAAAGUUUCGUCAUCAGUUAAUCGACGUAGACUCGGGAAUGAUAUUUUCUUGAGGUUAUAAGCAUUUAUAUUAUUUAUAACAGGCGAUAAGUAAAUUCGUGAAAGUGAGAGGAUAAGCGAAUCGCAGAAAGUGAGUUUCGUCGAAGUUUGUCAAUAUGGAAUAGAAUACGGUUCGAGAUAUAACACCCGAUAUUUAUGGAUUAAUGCCAUACAAGGUACCUCAUGACCGCGAUAGUCGGGUAUACAAAGUGUGUUAAAAGUGAGUAGUAUUUUAAGUAAUUUAAGAUAAUUUUUAAUUAUAUGGAUAAUUGGUUAAUUAUUGGUUAAUGGAGGAAUUAACAAGUUAAUUAAGGAUUAGUGGGUGAUUAAUUAGAGAUGUGUGGCUAUAAUUCAUGGUUUUUGCACACUAUAUGAUUUGUGUUUUACAAGCUUUAAUGUUUAAAUACACUUUGUUUGAGCGUAAUAGAGUCUAUUUUAUGUGUAGGUGCAUCGGAAAUGAAAGUAGAGCUAAAGGGAUGGUUAAACGUCAAAAGUGUACUCAAAAAUAGUGAAAAGGAGAACCGGGCAAAAGCCAACUCGACCAGGCUUUAGCCUGGCGAGGCCAGCUUAAAGUCAGGCCAAGAGAGACACCAUCCAGGCGAAGCCAGCUUAAAGCCAAGCCUAGGCUGGCGUUAUCUAGGCGAAGCCAGCUUAAAGCCACACCUAGGCUGGCGUUAUCCAGGCCACGCCAGACCUAAGGCCAGGCCAAGUCCGAGUUUUGAAGGUUUUAAUUGUUUCCCGGCUUGACUAGAAGUUGUCCUACACGUUUAGGGCUUGUCCCAAACAUAUAAAUAGACCCAAAAACACUACUUUGAAGGACUUUUGCAACUGGAGGCAAGAAUAGCUCGUGGAACACUACUUGGGAGUUUAAAUCAUUGAUUUCUACAUCCCUCUAUCUUUACUCUGUAAUUUAAUUAUGUAAAUUACUUUGGAUAUUGUUACUUUGAGUAUGAGUAGCUAAACUCAUAAUCUAGGGCUUUGAUGGAACCUGUUGAAGGAUGAUUUUCUCGUUAUGUUAAUAUAGAUUUGCC
rnacentral:lncRNA from 1 species